UACGGGGGGGGCAAGCGUUGUUCGGAAUUACUGGGCGUAAAGGGCUCGUAGGCGGCCAACUAAGUCAGACGUGAAAUCCCUCGGCUUAACCGGGGAACUGCGUCUGAUACUGGAUGGCUUGAGAUUGGGAGAGGGAUGCGGAAUUCCAGGUGUAGCGGUGAAAUGCGUAGAUAUCUGGAGGAGCACCGGUGGCGAAGGCGGCAUCCUGGACCAACACUGACGCUGAGGGAGCGAAAGCCAGGGGAGCAAACGGG
rnacentral:rRNA from 1 species